AUUGAACGCUGGCGGCAGGCCUAACACAUGCAAGUCGAACGAUGACUCUCUAGCUUGCUAGAGAAGAUUAGUGGCGGACGGGUGAGUAACAUUUCGGAAUCUGCCUAGUAGUGGGGGAUAGCUCGGGGAAACUCGAAUUAAUACCGCAUACGAGCUACGGGUGAAAGGGGGCGCAAGCUCUUGCUAUUAGAUGAGCCUAAAUCAGAUUAGCUAGGUGGUGGGGUAAAGGGCCACCAAGGCGACGAUCUGUAACUGGUCUGAGAGGAUGAUCAGUCACACCGGAACUGAGACACGGUCCGGACUCCUACGGGAGGCAGCAGUGGGGAAUAUUGGACAAUGGGGGCAACCCUGAUCCAGCCAUGCCGCGUGUGUGAAGAAGGCCUUUUGGUUGUAAAGCACUUUAAGCAGGGAGGAGAGGCUAAUGGUUAAUACCCAUUAGAUUAGACGUUACCUGCAGAAUAAGCACCGGCUAACUCUGUGCCAGCCGCCGCAGUAAGAC
rnacentral:rRNA from 1 species